rnacentral:rRNA from 1 species
AACUAACGCUGGCGGCGUGCCUAACACAUGCAAGUCGUACGAGAAAGCCGGCUUCGGCUGGGUGAGUAAAGUGGCGCACGGGUGAGUAACGCGUGGAUAAUCUGCCCUUAAGUGUGGAAUAACGUACCGAAAGGUGCGCUAAUACCGCAUAAUGCCUGGCAACACAAGUUGUCCGGCCAAAGGAAGGCCUCUGUUUACAAGCUUUCGCUUCAGGAUGAGUCCGCGUACCAUUAGCUUGUUGGUGGGGUAAUGGCCUACCAAGGCUGCGAUGGUUAGCUGGUCUGAGAGGAUGAUCAGCCACACUGGAACUGAGACACGGUCCAGACUCCUACGGGAGGCAGCAGUGAGGAAUAUUGCGCAAUGGGGGCAACCCUGACGCAGCAACGCCGCGUGAGUGAGGAAGGUUUUCGGAUUGUAAACCUCUGUUCUUGGUGACGAAAAAGAUGACGGUAGCCAAGGAGAAAGCCCCGGCUAACUAUGUGCCAGCAGCCGCGGU